GAUGAACGCUGGCGGCGUGCCUAAUACAUGCAAGUCGAGCGAACAGACGUGGAGCUUGCUCCACUUACGUUAGCGGCGGACGGGUGAGUAACACGUGGAUAACCUACCUUUAAGACUGGGACAACUUCGGGAAACCGGAGCUAAUACCGGAUAAUAUAUUGAAACGCAUGGUUCAAGAUUGAAAGAUGGGUUUGCUGUAACUUAUAGAUAGAUCCGCGUGGCUUUACCUAUUGGUGAGGGAAAGGCCCUACCAAGGGAAGGGAGCUUACCCGCCCUGAGAGGUGGACCGGCCACACUGGACCUGAACCCCGCUCCAGACUCCUCCGGGAGGAACAGGAAGGGAAUCUUCCGCAAUGGGCGAAAGCCUGACGGAGCACGGCCGCGUGAGUGAUGAAGGUCUUCGAACCGUAAACCCCUGUUAUUAGGGAAGACCAAAUGUGUAAGUGACUAUGCACGUAUUGACGGUACCUACUCAGAAAGCCACGGCUAACUACGUG
rnacentral:rRNA from 1 species